UUGACAGCCAAAUUGCAAAAGGCCCCACUGGAACCGCCGCCCCCGUGCUCCCCCUGUGCCCGGGAUGCCUUCAUCCCAAUGGGCUUUGGGGUCCUGUGCUUGGGGACAGGGCUGCACUGCCAACCCCGGUGCCACCGAGUGCUCUCACCGUGGAGAAAGCUCGCCUAAAUGAUUGCAAUGCAAAGAAGGCAGAAGUGUGCCAUGCAUUGCGGUGUGCUGGAGCGAGCCAUGAACCCCGCUUAUCGUCGCGCCGGGCGAGCAGGUCUGCUCCCGGCUCCUGCAGGCUUCGCCGGUGUCUGCCUGCUGACUGAAGCUGUCAUUAUCAGCUCAAUAAAUCUCUGGCGCGGGUUUUAUUGAAUCGCUGCCUGAGGGGGAACAAGCCUGUAAAGGUUGAGGAGAGCAGAGCUUUCCCACGCCUGAGACACGCUGCCGGAGCUCUUGCACACAUUCCGGGCCUGCCAGCACUCCGCAAAUGUUUGGACAGCCUUGAACAAAUAACACACCUUUAAAGAGGCCAGCAUGAAAUUUUUCCUCACCCCUCGGCCGCCCUCCCGCUGCCUCGUGCCCCCCCAGCGCCCCGCGGUGCUCGGUGUGUGUGCGCGCCGGUUUAUUUUAGGCUCGUGGCCGCGCUCCAGUUUCGGGGAGGAUGGAGGAUGGGGAUGGGAGGAGGUCUGGCUUUUCCUCCUGCAGGUAGGAACCGGCUCCAGCUGUGAUCUGGGGGAUGCCAACGCUUUUUACUUGUAUUAUUUUUUGGUUGCAUCUCACGUUGCACGGUUCCAGGGACACUCUGCUCCGUGCCCCAUGGCACAGCGCAGGGGAUGGAGCCAGGGUUUGCCCCAGCGCGGCGGUGGGGCCGGGGGGAGCCUCAGGAAGGAUUAAUGGAGCAGCCAGCUGCCUGCCUGCUGAGUUCUGGGAAUGUCAAACACUGCAGCCAUCUCAACAGCUCCUAAAAUUCCCCCUGACUCGUUUCCUGUUGCUGCUUUCCCGAUGCUGAAAGGCUCGGGCUCCCGUGGAUAAAAAAAAAACCUGAAAAUUGGAGGGAUUCCAGAAUUUAGGUUUCUGCCUCCUCCAUCUUCCCUGUCAACGCGUCGUUAAAUAAGGAGCAGGAACGCUGCGUUCGCCGUACGCUCGUCACCAAAGAGCUGAGCGAAAAUCCUGCUGGAGGGAGCAGGUGACAAUUGGGUUCCCUGCUCCCCGGGUCUGUCCCCGCGUGCCAUGCCUGAGCAGAAGGCAGAAGGAGCUGCACAGACCGUGACUUGGCUCCCUUUGGGGAAACAGAGGCACACCUGAGACAGGGAUGCCGCAAGGAGCAAGCAGCAAGCUGCUGCACGCACCCGCUGACAACCAACCACACCUUGGGCAAGGUCAACACCGAGCGUAGAAUGGGAAGAGCGAAGGUUGAGGAGCAUGGCGCAGGGCUGGGUGCAAGGUCCAUUGCCAGCACGCUCAUAAAGCGUGGAUAAGGGAGUGGUUCCCAGCAGAGAACACCUCUCACGUUGGUUUAGGGGCCACCCAGGUGUCCCUAGGUUGGAGGGGGACGCGUGUCACCCAAUGCACGGUACAAGGAGGAGGCUGCCCACUGCUCCUCGCCCCAAGCUCUGCCGUGCUUUGCUUGUGCAUUGGAAGGGCCUUGCACACGCAUUGCUGGGAUGGGGAGGGUGGUCAGCGCUUCCUUCCUCCUGACCACACCCGCACGGAUUUGAGUCACUGUGGGAUGAUGCCAAGCAGAGGUUGGGCUGUGCUCUUCUCUUCCAACAACCCCUGGGGGGAUGGGAGCAUCCCACAAACCGCUAUGGGGUUUGGAGCAUCCCUCCACUCGUCAUGGGCUCUGGUUCAGCCGAGCUCUCAGCCCCGCUCACUGGUGCAGCUGCCCCCCCCAAAAAAAGCACAGGAACCACCAGUUUGCAGCAGGGAGGCGGAUAAAACCGCCCGUUUGCUUUCAAGCCUUCAACUGUCCGUUAGCAAAGUGCAGACCACAGAAUGGGUGGCCCCUUUCCUGGAGAAGCUGUGAAAACCUGCUCGGUUCCUGUGCUAGGAAAGCAAACAAACAAACACGACCCGGCGCUGGGUGUCAGCACAUCAGAGCAUCUGGAAGCAAAACCCCGAGCCCCUGCCUCGCUGAUAAGAGCCAGCCCCGACGCCCACCGAUGGGAGAACCCGGAGACGUCAUUAGGAAUGCGUAACGCUCGAAACAAAGGGCAAAAAGCAAUCAGCAAAAGGUAAUGAAAAGGGAUUCAAUGAAGCAAAAAUGAUCCGGACGAGACGCUGGGAGCAGAUCCAGCCGAGCAGGCUGGGGCACGGCGGACCCACGGCUGCGGGUCUGCACGUUAAUACUGCUUUGCACUUCUGCAGACCUCCGAGGAGAGGUCACCGUGCAUGCUGCCAGGGUGGCUCUGCAGAGGGGCUGAGGGAUUUAUGCCAGCCCUUGGGAGCAGGAGGCCGUGCUGUCGGCAUCGAUGCCAUCCGAAGGGAGCUCACGUGGGGAGCUGGUUCCUCCUCGCUUAUUUUUAGCACCGAGGUUUAUAUCAGGAAUGACAAAUUUGGCAUCGGCGCUCGGAUGUGGCUGGGACGGGAGCAGCGUGCAACAAUACAGUCCCAAACACAGCGGGGCUGCCUCUUCCUCUGCUGUUGGGGCUAGGGGAGGAGGGGAGCCCAGUGCAGCCAACCAGCUCCAGCACUCAGCAGCAGGGAGCAGAUGGAAGCGAAGAGAUGCACGUUACACUUGUCCCUGGGCAAAAAGCAACGUGUUUUGUAUCCCUAUUAAAGAGCAAACUCGUGCUGUUGGAAAAUGGAUUGGCUUUUUGGGAGGCUGGGGAACGCAAUCGCUCUGUUUCUUGCCCCACGCCUGGGCUGCACUCGGCACUGAAAAUCCCACAACUGAAUGGAGGGCACCCUGAGCACCCUUGUGCUGCAUCCCACAGGUUUCUGCAUUCUCCACAUGGUCUCAGGUCCCUGAAGUGAGUGGGCCUUUGGGAAGACACCAUCCAAAAUGUUGCCUUGGUGCAGGACGCGUUUCCCUUGCUCCCAGCUGGUCCCCCUGCGUGGGAUGCUCCAUGCUCAAGGCAGUACGCUGGGAUUAGGAUGGGGUGCCCAUGAGAUGAAGCAUU